rnacentral:rRNA from 1 species
CACGUAGGGGGCAAGCGUUGUCCGGAUUUAUUGGGCGUAAAGAGCUCGUAGGCUGUUCGAUAAGUCGGGUGUGAAACCUCCAGGCUCAACCUGGAGACGCCACCCGAUACUGUCAUGACUAGAGUCCGGUAGGGGAGCGUGGAAUUCCUGGUGUAGCGGUGAAAUGCGCAGAGAUCGGGAGGAACACCCGUAGCGAAGGCGGCACUCUGGGCCGGUACUGACGCUGAGGAGCGAAAGCGUGGGGAGCAAACAGG